rnacentral:miRNA from 1 species
UACCUCAUCAAUCAGAGGGGAUUCCUUCAGAUUAAUGAGGUCUUUGCACCUAAUUGAUAGGAAGGGAUCCCUUCCGUUCCAGAAGAUGCAAAGAUCACAUCAAUCAGAAGGGAUUCCUUCCUAUUGGUUAAGUCUUUGCUAUUCAUCAAACAGAAGGAAUGCCUUCCAAUUGAUGAGGUA